GUGAGCCACCGCACCCAGUCUUAUUUCUAAGUUUCACAUCAGAAGUUUUAUUAAAAAAUAAAUCAAUGUAGCCAUUUACAAAUCACUGCUCACAAGUUAGGAAGGAUGUCAAAGUCUAAACAUUUUCCAUACUCUACUGGGCACAACACCCAGGUGAAGCCUAGGUGGCCCUUCAAAAAUCCACUUUUAUGAAGCCUUCCCUAGUAGCAACUCCAUUCAUCGCAAAACCCAAGUCUCAGGUAUAUGAUGCUGGUCAGGAACAAGUCACAGUUUGGGUCAUUAAUAGUAUAUAUAGGCUACUGUUUCAUGUUUUAAAUAAACAAGAGCAAAUGUUUCCAUAGAAUCUAGCACAGGAAUAUCGGGGGGUAGGGAAAGGCAGGACUUUUGGAACCACAGCUGCCACAAGAAACAAGGACAAGGAUGGGCUUGGACAAGCGCGAGGAAUGCAGCAACAAACCAUCAAGCAACUCAACGAUUUUGCCUCAGCCUAAUUGAUAGUCACCGAAGUCCACCUGAACCAUCAAAUGAAGGGGCCAGAGACACGAAUCCCAGAUUUCUGCAGCAUUUCAGGAGCAGAUGGGCAAGCUGAGGGACUUCCUUCAGAGACCCCAUUCAUCCGAAGUUCAGACAGCCCCAAAAGAAAGUGGUGGGAUAAGAUCGUGAAUGCAAAGAGAUAUGGCAGACCUCCGCCAACCACAGAUAACUGGAGCUAUGGCAUAGUCACAGUGAGCUCAGCAGUGCCUCGUGCCGUGGCAUUCACGCGUGACGGAAAUACACAAUGAUGAUAAUGAAGGGUGGAAAAACUGCGAUCCUACUAUCUCAUCAGACAGCAAUGCUUCAGACGCUCAAUGUUGGGGGUGAGCUGUCCUAGAAGGUAGCUGGGUGUCUCUUGCUGCCUGUGAAACCAUGUUUAUUUUUCUGCAUGUUCUAGAUGGACAACCCUGCCAGCGAUUCCUCUGGUGAACCAGCCAGGGAACCUCACCCCCCA
rnacentral:lncRNA from 10 species